rnacentral:rRNA from 1 species
UGAGUACGAGAUGCUACGGCGUCGAAGCAGUCUAUGUCAUACUUCCAAGAAAAGCUUGCACUGUCAUAAACAAAUAAUGCCUGUACCAUAACCGACACAGGUGGGUAGGUAGAGUAUACUAAGGGGCGCGAGAUAACUCUCUCUAAGGAACUCGGCAAAAUGACUCCGUAACUUCGGGAGAAGGAGUGCCUUAUUUUAUAAGGUUGCAAUAACAAGAUCCAAGCAACUGUUUACCAAAAACACAGGUCUCCGCUAAGUCGUAAGACGAUGUAUGGGGGCUGACGCCUGCCCAGUGCCAGAAGGUUAAAUAAGUCGGUUAGUUUACGCGAAGCUGGUAACUGAAGCCCUGGUGAACGGCGGCCGUAACAAUAACGGUCCUAAGGUAGCGAAAUUCCUUGUCGGGUAAGUUCCGACCCGCACGAAAGGCGUAAUGAUUUGGAUACUGUCUCGGAGAGGGACUCGGUGAAAUAGACUUGUCUGUGAAGAUGCGGACUACCUGCACCAGGACAGAAAGACCCUAUGAAGCUUUACUGUAACUUGAAAUUGAAGUUGGACUUUACUUGCGCAGUAUAGGUGGGAGGCUUUGAGAAUAUUCUUGCGGGAAUAUUGGAGCCAUCAGUGAGAUACCACUCUGGUAAUGUUAGAUUUCUAACUUUGAAUCAUUAUCUGGUCAAAGAACAGAUUCAGGCGGGCAGUUUGACUGGGGCGGUCGCCUCCUAAACGGUAACGGAGGCGCACAAAGGUUUCCUCUGAACGGGUAGAAAUCGUAUCUAGAGUGUAAAGGCAUAAGGAAGCUUGACUGUGAGACCUACAAGUCGAGCAGGGACGAAAGUCGGUCUUAGUGAUCUGACGGUGCUGAGUGGAAAGGCCGUCACUCAACGGAUAAAAGUUACUCUAAGGAUAACAGGCUGAUCUCCCCCAAGAGUUCACAUCGACGGGGAGGUUUGGCACCUCGAUGUCGGCUCAUCGCAUCCUGGGGCGGUAGUACGUCCCAAGGGUUGGGCUGUUCGCCCAUGAAAGCGGUACGCGAGCUGGGUUCAGAACGUCGUGAGACAGUUCGGUCCAUAUCCGGUGUAGGCGUUAGAAUAUUGAGAGGAGCCUUCUUUAGUACGAGAGGACCGAGAAGGAUGCACCUCUGGUGUACCAGUUAUUGUGCCAACAGUAAACGCUGGGUAGCUAUGUGUGGAGUGGAUAACCGCUGAAAGCAUCUAAGUGGGAAGCCCACCUCAAGAUAAGUAUUCUCAU